UACAGAGGUCUCAAGCGUUGUUCGGAAUCACUGGGCGUAAAGGGUGCGUAGGUGGCGUGGAAAGUCAGAUGUGAAAUCCGGAGGCUCAACCUCCGAAUUGCAUCCGAUACUCCCGUGCUAGAGAACUGGAGGGGAGUCUGGAAUUCUCGGUGUAGCAGUGAAAUGCGUAGAUAUCGAGAGGAACACUAGUGGCGAAGGCGAGACUCUGGACAGUUUCUGACACUGAUGCACGAAGGUCAGGGGAGCAAACGGG
rnacentral:rRNA from 1 species